rnacentral:lncRNA from 1 species
CGAUCCGCCGCGGCUGGGCCCGGGCCUCGGCUCGGCUCAACGCGCGCCGCGGGUGCGCUCGAACGGAAACCCCGGGAAUCCCGGCGAGCGUGGCGGAGGGGGUGGGUACGGACCUGUAAUGGCGGCGGCGGCGGCGGGGCCGGGGAGGGGGGCGACGGCGACGGCGACGCUAGGGUUGGGGCGGAUCUGGGGGCGGCGGUGCGGGGCGGGGGAUCGGAGUGGAGUGGGGGUGNGGGGACGGGGAC